rnacentral:misc_RNA from 1 species
UCCCGGUUAACCCGGGCAGUCUCAUUAGAGUUCCCACCUUCACGUGUUGGCAACUAAUGAUAAGGGUUGCGCUCGUUGCGGGACUUAACCCAACACCUCACGGCACGAGCUGACGACAGCCAUGCAGCACCUGUGCACCUGUCCUUGCGGACUAGCAUAUCUCUACGCUAUUCAAGUGCAUGUCAAGCCUGGGUAAGGUUCUUCGCGUUGCAUCGAAUUAAACCACAUGCUCCACUGCUUGUGCGGGUCCCCGUCAAUUCUUUUGAGUUUCAGCCUUGCGACUGUACUCCCCAGGCGGCACACUUAUCACGUUAGCUUCGGCACAGCUAGGGUUGAUUCCAGCUACACCAAGUGUGCAUCGUUUACGGCAAGGACUAC